rnacentral:rRNA from 1 species
UACAGGGGGUGCAAACGUUGCUCGGAAUCAUUGGGCGUAAAGCGCACGUAGGCGGUUCGUUAUGUCGGAUGUGAAAGCCCUUGGCUUAACCGAGGAAGUGCAUCCGAAACUGGCGAGCUAGAGUACUAAAGAGGAUCGCGGAAUUCCCGGUGUAGAGGUGAAAUUCGUAGAUAUCGGGAGGAACACCGGUGGCGAAGGCGGCGACCUGGGUAGAUACUGACGCUGAGGUGCGAAAGCGUGGGGAGCAAACAGG